AGCUGAUGCGAAAGGGCGAACCUUCAGCAGUCCAACACUGCUAAAGUGAAGCAGCAUCCCAGAGAAGUGCAGGUAUCUAUGUACGGUGCUUCGUGCAAAAACAUCGUACCCUGUCAAGGAAACGAUUCCGCUGGGCAUACGUGGAAGUGGCCACGGGAAAGGGCGUCGGGAUGACGACCGAUGCCUUAAAAACAACGCCAGCGGCCGAUGCACCUGCAGGAUGCUCCGGGUGACAAAAGUUGGAGGAAUGAACUCUGUGAGAUACCGCAGGGUUCAUUU
rnacentral:sRNA from 12 species